rnacentral:rRNA from 1 species
GACGAACGCUGGCGGCGUGCUUAACACAUGCAAGUCGAACGGAAAGGCCCUGCUUUUGUGGGGUGCUCGAGUGGCGAACGGGUGAGUAACACGUGAGUAACCUGCCCUUGACUUUGGGAUAACUUCAGGAAACUGGGGCUAAUACCGGAUAGUAGCUCCUGCUGCAUGGUGGGGGUUGGAAAGUUUCGGCGGUUGGGGAUGGACUCGCGGCUUAUCAGCUUGUUGGUGGGGUAGUGGCUUACCAAGGCUUUGACGGGUAGCCGGCCUGAGAGGGUGACCGGCCACAUUGGGACUGAGAUACGGCCCAGACUCCUACGGGAGGCAGCAGUGGGGAAUGUUGCACAAUGGGCGGAAGCCUGAUGCAGCAACGCCGCGUGCGGGAUGACGGCCUUCGGGUUGUAAACCGCUUUCGCCUGUGACGAAGCGUGAGUGACGGUAAUGGGUAAAGAAGCACCGGCUAACUACGUG